rnacentral:rRNA from 1 species
UACAGAGGUCCCAAGCGUUGUUCGGAUUCAUUGGGCGUAAGGGGUGCGUAGGUGGCGCCGUAAGUCAGGUGUGAAAUUUCGGAGCUUAACUCCGAAACUGCAUUUGAUACUGCGGUGCUUGAGGACUGGAGAGGAGACUGGAAUUUACGGUGUAGCAGUGAAAUGCGUAGAGAUCGUAAGGAAGACCAGUGGCGAAGGCGGGUCUCGUGGACAGUUCCUGACACUGAGGCACGAAGGCCAGGGGAGCAAACGGG